rnacentral:ncRNA from 1 species
GGCGCGGUCAACGAGUCGGGUUGUUUGGGAAUGCAGCCCAAAUCGGGCGGUAGACUCCGUCCAAGGCUAAAUACAGGCGAGAGACCGAUAACGAACAAGUACCGCGAGGGAAAGAUGAAAAGGACUUUGAAAAGAGAGUCAAAGAGUGCUUGAAAUUGCCGGGAGGGAAGCGGAUGGGGGCCGGCGAUGCGCCCCGGCCGUAUGCGGAACG